GUGCCCCGAUCGCCGCCGCACGUAGGGACGGACAGGGCUCCGGGCACAGACCUCCCCAAAGCCCAUCGAUGUCUCCGCGCCUGCUCAGGGUGCUGGGUUGGGGCUCGGCGGCCGUGCUGGGCCUGCUGACGGUGGCCGUCUUCGUCCUGGUCCUGAUCCCGGCAAAGGAUGCUGUCCUUCCUACCACGAUCAAAUACGGUCUGGUGUUUGAUGCUGGCUCCACACACACGUCCCUCUACAUCUACCGGUGGCCUGCACACAAGGAGAACGGCACUGGCAUCGUCUCCCAGGUGGAGGCCUGCUCUGUGUCCGGACCCGGCAUCUCCAGCUACGCAGACGACCCCGCGGGGGCUGGCGCCAGCCUGAAGCCUUGCCUGGACAAGGCCAUGAAGAUCAUCCCGGCCGAGCAGCAGCGGGAGACCCCCACGUACCUGGGGGCCACGGCCGGCAUGCGGCUGCUGAGGGAGGAGAACAGCACCAAGGCCGAGCAGGUCUUUGCCGAGGUGUCCAAGGCCAUUGGGGAGUACCCUGUGGAUUUCCGCGGAGCUCGGAUCCUGACGGGGAGUGAGGAGGGCUCCUUUGGAUGGAUCACUGUCAACUACCUGCUGCAGACACUGGUCAAGUUCUCGUUUGCAGAGAAAUGGGAACAUCCCCAGGACACCGAGGUUCUGGGAGCUCUGGACCUUGGCGGUGCCUCGACGCAGAUCACCUUCCAGCCCGGGGUGCCUGUGGAGGACAGGAACACGUCCGUGUUCUUCCGGCUGUACGGCACCAACUACUCCCUGUACAGCCACAGCUACCUGUGCUACGGGCAGAGCCAGGCCCUGAAGAGGCUGCUGGCAGCUCUGCACCAGGCCAGCUCGAGUGAUCAGAUCUCCCACCCCUGCUACCCCCGGGGGUACCAGGAGAACCUCACCGUGGCAGAGCUCUACGACAGCCCCUGUGUGCGUGCGCCAAGCUCAGCCAGCCCUGGCCUUGUCCUCAGUGUGACGGGGACAGGGGACCCAGCCGCGUGUGGCACGGCCGUGCAGAGACUCUUCAACUUCAGCUGUGGGGCGCAGUGGCCGUGCGGGUUCAAUGGGGUGUACCAGCCCCCCGUGCGGGGACAGUUCUUGGCCUUCUCGGGGUUUUAUCACAGCCUUCAUUUUCUGAACCUGACAGGAGGACAGUCCCUGAGCUUGGUCAAUGCCACCAUCUGGCAGAUCUGCAACAGCAGCUGGGAACAGGUGCAGGAGUUGUUCCCCACGGCGAGCAGGACCCAGCUCCGUGAUGCCUGCACAGCCAGCUCCUACACCCUCACUCUUCUUCUGCAAGGCUACAAAUUCAACUACACAACAUGGCCUAACAUCCACUUCGUCCGGCAGGUUGCUAACGUAGAUGUGGGCUGGACUCUGGGCUGCAUGCUCAAUCUCACCAACAUAAUCCCCUCGGAGCCUCUCACAGCAGUCACAGAGCUCCCGAGAAACAUCUGGAUAGCAGCCACAGUUCUGCUGGCCAUCAUGCUCAUCCUCACCUUCUGCCUGCUCACAGCCAUGUGCUACCAGACAAACUCCGCAGGCUAUGAGCAGCUGUAGCAGCAUUGCCUCCAGAGGCUGCCGAGGCCACCGAGUCCUGCUACCACACCUUUGCAAGGAGCUGCUUCCCAGGAAUCACCCUUGUGUGCCCAGAGGCCAUGGACUUGCCCUGGGGGGCCCUGAGUCCUGGCCUGGUGAAAAGGAAGAUGAUGAGAUGAGUGGCAAGAUGUGAUGAUGAGAUGGCAUGACAUGCCAUAACACGCUGAUGAGAUGAUGAGAUGGACUCUCUGGAGGGGCAUGGACCAUA